rnacentral:rRNA from 1 species
CAGCAGCCACGGGAAUACGUAGGGUGCAAGCGUUAAUCGGAAUUACUGGGCGUAAAGCGUGCGCAGGCGGUUUGUUAAGACAGAUGUGAAAUCCCCGGGCUCAACCUGGGAACUGCAUUUGUGACUGGCAGGCUAGAGUAUGGCAGAGGGGGGUGGAAUUCCGCGUGUAGCAGUGAAAUGCGUAGAUAUGCGGAGGAACACCGAUGGCGAAGGCAGCCUCCUGGGCCAAUACUGACGCUCAUGCACGAAAGCGUGGGGAGCAAACAGGAUUAGAUACCCCGGUAGUCCCUGUCUCUUAUAC